rnacentral:rRNA from 1 species
AAUCAACGCUGGCGGCGUGCCUCAGACAUGCAAGUCGAACGCGAAAGUUCCCUUCGGGGAGCAAGUAGAGUGGCGCACGGGUGAGUAACACGUAGGUAAUUUGCCUUCGGGUGGGGAAUAACAGUCGGAAACGACUGCUAAUACCGCAUAAUGCAGCGGCUCGACAUCGAGACAGUUGUUAAAGCGGGGGAGUCCUUCGGGACCUCGCGCCUGAAGAGAAGCCUGCGGCAGAUUAGCUAGUUGGUGAGGUAAUGGCCCGACCAACGGCUACGAUCUGUAACCGGCCUGAGAGGGCGGUCGGUCACACUGACACUGACAUACGGGUC